AGCGAACGCUGGCGGCAGGCCUAAUACAUGCAAGUCGAGCGCGCCUUCGGGUGAGCGGCGGACGGGUGAGUAACGCGUGGGAACGUGCCCUUUGGUACGGGAUAACUGAGGGAAACUUCAGCUAAUACCGUAUGUGCCCUACGGGGGAAAGAUUUAUCGCCAUUGGAGCGGCCCGCGUUGGAUUAGCUAGUUGGUGGGGUAAAGGCUCACCAAGGCUACGAUCCAUAGCUGGUCUGAGAGGAUGAUCAGCCACACUGGGACUGAGACACGGCCCAGACUCCUACGGGAGGCAGCAGUAGGGAAUCUUGCGCAAUGGGCGAAAGCCUGACGCAGCCAUGCCGCGUGAAUGAUGAAGGUCUUAGGAUUGUAAAAUUCUUUCACCGGGGAAGAUAAUGACGGUACCCGGAGAAGAAGCCCCGGCUAACUUCGUGCCAGCAGCCGCAGUAACAC
rnacentral:rRNA from 1 species